rnacentral:rRNA from 1 species
UGCCAGACUCCUACGGGAGGUAGCAGUGGGGAAUAUUGCACAAUGGGGGAAACCCUGAUGCAGCAACGCCGCGUGAGUGAAGAAGUAUUUCGGUAUGUAAAGCUCUAUCAGCAGGGAAGAAGAUGACGGUACCUGAUUAAGAAGCCCCGGCUAACUACGUGCCAGCAGCCGCGGUAAUACGUAGGGGGCAAGCGUUAUCCGGAUUUACUGGGUGUAAAGGGAGCGCAGACGGCAGUGCAAGUCUGGAGUGAAAGCCCGGGGCCCAACCCCGGAACUGCUCUGGAAACUGUGCGGCUAGAGUGCUGGAGGGGCAGGCGGAAUUCCUAGUGUAGCGGUGAAAUGCGUAGAUAUUAGGAGGAACACCAGUGGCGAAGGCGGCCUGCUGGACAGUAACUGACGUUGAGGCUCGAAAGCGUGGGGAGCAAACAGGAUUAGAUACCCCCGUAU